AGCAGAGUGGCUCAGUGGAAAGAGCUCGGGCUAGAGAGUCAGAGGUAACGGAUUCAAAUCCCGACUCUGCUA
rnacentral:tRNA from 1 species